GAAAAAAAAAGUCACUCCCGAGGUGAAAAAAAGGGCCAACUCCCUCGUCCAAUUCUAAUCUGGGGUGAGUCAUCUCAAAAGAAAAAGAAUCAGGGGCGGAGUAGAUGAGGGGUGUGUGCGCCGAGCGGCGGUUGGGCUCCGGCGUCGUGGAACGCAGCGGGCCGAGCCGUCGUGCUGCGACGUUGGUGGUACUUGGCGUCAGGGCUUCUUCAUGAUACGGGGGCAUCUCCCGUGUGGACGGCGCCUCGUCGGCCGAGUCGCCGGCGACGAAUACUCGGCCAAAGAUGGGCCCACUCCAUGAACCAGGUGCUGGCGGCGUCCUCGGCUGGACGGCGAGCUGGUCGUGGUUGGGCGGCGCAGGAGUCGUGUCUGCUGCUUGAAGAGUAUCAGGGUACGGUGGUGGUUGGCAUUCUGCUUGAUGCGUGCUGCAUCUCCUCCCACAACAACGGCCGGCAGUUAGGUGUUUGCAGCCGGACUUCUUCAGUAUCGCACCCUCUCCGUCAUUUUACACGAGUAUGUCUUGAUUUACUCUCCCAUGCCACGUACCUGCUUGAAUUAAGUUAGAUUGGGUAAGAAUACUAGGCAGCAGAAUUUGGAUGGAUUACAUCCCCAAAUAUAGUUGUUUUGGGCAUAGCUAUCCUACAACCUUAGUGCUCAGACUGUCAUAAUUUCUUUUGCCCAGUUUGUAUGUGCUUAGUGACAGGCCUUCUUGUUCUUGUGUAUAUAUUUGUAUGAUUAUUGUAUAACUCUAUUCUAGCCAGAAGUUGCAGACUUACAAUACAUAUGAUAUAGUGAAGAUAUGACUUCUUUCGUCUUUUUUAGAAAAAUAA